AUACGAAGGGGGCUAGCGUUGCUCGGAAUGACUGGGCGUAAAGGGCGUGUAGGCGGUUUACACAGUCAGAUGUGAAAUCCCCGGGCUUAACCUGGGAGCUGCAUUUGAUACGUGUAGACUAGAGUGUGAGAGAGGGUUGUGGAAUUCCCAGUGUAGAGGUGGAAUUCGUAGAUAUUGGGAAGAACACCGGUGGCGAAGGCGGCAACCUGGCCCAUGACUGACGCUGAGGCGCGAAAGCGUGGGGAGC
rnacentral:rRNA from 1 species